rnacentral:rRNA from 1 species
AACGUAGGUGGCGAGCGUUAUCCGGAUUCAUUGGGCGUAAAGAGCUUGUAGGUGGCGGCGUAAGUUGGACGUGAAAUCGCCCGGCUCAACCGGGCGGGGUCGUUCAAUACUGCGCGGCUGGAGGAGGUCAGAGGGAAGUGGAAUUCCUGGUGUAGCAGUGAAAUGCGUAGAUAUCAGGAGGAACACCGGUGGCGAAGGCGGCCCUCUGGACGGUGACUGACGCUGAGACGCGAAAGCGUGGGGAGCAAACAGG